CGCGGGGAAGGGCGCCCGCCUGGUCCGGCGAGCGCACGUCCGGUGCUCCCCUCUGGCGGACGGAAUGAAGUUGAUAAUAGUGAGACCUUGUUGGUACAAGACUAUGUAACAUAACCUGCGCUUCUCAACAAAGAAUUGCUUUUCUGACUUCUGCACUCAAUAGCAAGACAAAUCUCUCCUCUGCCUUCUCCUUAUCAGACUACUCAACAUGAAGGCAAUAAGAAUGAAGACCUCUAUGUAUAAUAAUUGACUUCCACUUAAUAAAUACCUGAACAGAUGUUGAGUACAAGCUGAUCCACCUACGUUCAACCUGAGAGAGUCCACAUCCACAGACUGUUUCAUUUCCCUUUUUCAAUUUACAUAGAAGCAUAGAUUCUUGCUGGCAUAUACAAAUGCGCCAUUUAAGGCAAUCAAAAAUGGUUCCACAUCUCAUCUGAUUUCCACAAUUGUUGCUGUAACGAUGGACUACUGAGGAGAGAGACAAUUUCUCUGGCACAUCUUCCCACAUUUUAGCAACAUGUUCAUGGAGAGCCAAUAUUCAGUAAUUACAGCCCAAUUCCUCACAAUUUCACAAUUCGCUAACAAUAUGCAUUUUCACAAUGUAAAGCUGAUUUUCCUUUAACCAAAUCAAACAUGAAAAGAUAGCUGCAUGCAAUGGGCAAUCUAGAUCAUUAGAAGAUUGAUGUAAAAUUAGAGGACACUGAGACUGGAAUAGAUUGCAAACUUCAGGGAGCUCAGAAAACUUGUAAACUCUACAUUUUGAGGAAAUAUGUUGUCGAUGCUUUUGCAACUCUAUGCAGUAACUUAACAAAUAAAGCCUUAAA
rnacentral:lncRNA from 1 species